AUUGAACGCUGGCGGCAUGCUUUACACAUGCAAGUCGAACGGUAAAAGUCUAUCGGGUGCUGACGAGUGGGUAACGGGCGAGUAAUGCAUCGGUAAGCAACCAGCGGACGGGGAUAACGCAGCGAAAGCUGAGCUGAUACUAAUACUGGUUAGAGGAUGAAAACGGGGGACCUAACAGUAAUAUUUGACAUCGCGCGGUUGAUGCGCUUGAUGUCGGAUUAGCGGGUUGGGAGGGUAAAGGCCUACCAAGGCGACGAUCCGUAGCUGGUCUGAGAGGACGACCAGCCACACUGGGACUGAGACACGGCCCAGACUCCUACGGGAGGCAGCAGUGGGGAAUUUUGGACAAUGGGCGCAAGCCUGAUCCAGCAAUGCCGCGUGCGGGAAGAAGGCCUUCGGGUUGUAAACCGCUUUUGGCAGGAACGAAACGGUGUCCGCUAAUACCGGGCGCUAAUGACGGUACCUGCAGAAUAAGCACCGGCUAACUACGUG
rnacentral:rRNA from 1 species